UUCUCUGUCUCCCUCACUCCCCUCUCUAUCUCCCUCUCUCACACACGACAAACACGCACACACUCUCCUUUCUCUGUCAUGGUCUCUUGCUCUCUCUCUCUCUCACCCUCUCUCUCUCUCUCUCUUGCGCUCCCUCUACCUUGCUCUCUUCUGUGCGUGUAAGUUCAUUCGCUGUGUCAAGCAACAACUGGCUCAGGAGUGAGAAGUGGGCUUUUGAUCCUCUUUAUCGAGCAUCCCGGUGAGGAUGCAGCAUCCGCAUCCACCUGUACACCCUGGGACUGCCUUGCUGCCUCAUCGCCUCUCUCUCUCUCGCUGUGGCUCUCUAACUGUAUCGGAGGCACUGCGGAGAGCUGGUGCUCUGCUAUACUGACCAUAUCACAGGCAGAAAUCUCACGCAGCAGACGCUCUGCAGGAAACAGACACUGGACCUGAGGGCUGGGAGGCAGGAGCGAUUCAGUGGGAUUUUGCGUACGGUGUAGAGCUGGGGAGCAGCUCGUGUGCUGGUGCUGGAAGAACACAGCAUGAGCCGGGCACUUAAAUCCUCGGCAGUCCAGAAAGACCAUUGAUGGGGCCUUGCCUUGUGCCGCAAAUCAUCUUCAAUCAAUUGUUUUGAAAGGCCUUGCCGUUUGCCAAACGGCUGAGGACAAUGCUUGCGAUUCCGCUAUUGCUUUCUCCUUAGAAAGACUCUCUUCGGUGACGGGUAUUCUUGGGUGGAUAAUACGGAUCACGUUGUUAUUGCUUAAGAAUACGCGUAGUCGAGGAGAGUCAUGUCGGCGGUGACGGCAGGGGACUAGAGAGAGCACAGAGGCCAGAGAGCCCACCUGCCCACCACACACACACACACACACACACACACUACCAAAGCUCACACUCAGGUCAUUUAACAAGCAAGCAGACAGAUCUUGUGUUUCUGUGUGUGAUAUGUGUUGUUGAGUAUCUACAGAAAGGGGCUUGUUCACCAUGUAGCCUUAUUCCUCGACAAAAUGAAAAACUGUUUAAUGUAAAAAAAAAAAGAAGACUGCAUUGAUUUUAAGUCCCCAUCUGCACCAAUGAUCAUUCUGCCCAGCAUUUCUAUCUGAAUAUAAGCUUAUAGACAAUUUUUUUUUUGUUUGUUUAAUCCUUGUGCGUAUUGGUAAAUGGAAUAGCAUAAUCAGGGAGGAUAUGUGGGUCUGUAGAUGGCAAAACACAUAGUCUACGGCAUUUAUUAUCUGUCCUUAGGACCACACACUCUUCACUUCCCACUCCAGCUUUUUUCAUGCAAAUUGAUUUAGAAAUGACAUUUAUCGUGUGGGGUUUCCACAUGCAAGCCUACCGCACCACGAGGGCUGACAAAAAAAAUGUCCACCAAGCCAACGACAGCUCAAUUUAUGCGCUCGAAGGAAGAGUGAGUGGAAGAGAACACACAGCAGAUAAACAAUUACCACAGCCUUAGAUUGACUACAGCUCUGCUUUCUAUGUAGCCGCACACAUAUCAUGAAUAUGUAUCAGUCACCGCAUAUGAUGGUGCAUUCUAAAGUCUAACACCCAUGAAAAUCCAUUUAAGCAGCAUAAUAGGAUCUACUUGAUCUACUUGACAUGCUAAAUCUUAUAAAUAUACAUGAGAUUUUUUUUUUUUUGGCAGGAAUGUAUUUUUCCUUAUUUUUAAAUUCCACGUAAGGAAAAAGAACAAAAAAAACAAAAAAAACAAUGUUAUUCCGAGAGGAAUAAAAUGUGGAUGUAUUAACAGGGAGGUUUUUUAAAAUCAGCAAACAGUCCAAUUUACUGUUAAUUAUCAUUAAGCACAUUGAAAUGACACAUUAGCAUUUCAGACAGACUAAAGAAAACAAUUCAGUGGCUCUCCUCUUGAUCACCCUGUAAUUAUCAUUCUUUUGGCUGUGCUUUAAUGAACAGAGAGUGGAAGAAAAGCUUGUAAGUACAUGUUAUGGCCUUUUACCACUAGGGUACCCACACAACUGAAAAAUUAUAUGUCUGAUUCACUAUAUUUUCUGCUUCCUGGCAUAAGUAUAGGUUUGUUUUAGGAGGACAAUUUUAAUUAAUUGUAAAAGGACUUAUUUAACUAAACAAGAGAUUUUCUUUUUUUAUUUUCUGGUUUUAAAAAGCACUACAAUGCUUCAUUAUGUGCUUUUUUUACUACAUUAAGGUGAAAUUGAUCGUACAUAUAUUUAAUAAUCACUGCAAUUGUAAUAACAGAACCAACAAAUUGAUGGAUCCUAGCUCUUUUUAACUAUACUAUAAACCACACUCUUUUUUUAACCACGCUAUAAAUAUCCGGAGCAUACAGUGUUUAAUAAAUAACACUAGAAAAUAAUUCUCAAUAUUCCAAAUCAUCCAAAUUAAAAGGCUAAAACAGCAUGCAGGCUUCAACAACAGACAGGAAAAAAAAACACUGAGCUGAGAUUCCCCUCCCCCUAAACCACUGUGAUAUCAGUCUUUUAUUGAUUAUUUGUGCUACUGAUUAUAUUCGUUAUAAUUUGGCCAUUAGAUCACAUACAUUACAUUCAUCAAAAUUUUCUCCACUGAAACAUAUUCCAGUAAAGAAAAAAAAAUGCAUUCUACAAUUAUCAUGUCAUUUACAUUGAUUAUCGUGUUUUAAUAGGACAGUUUUGCUUGUUGUGGAUUCAGAUUUGAUUUCAAAUUGUUGAUAAAUAACCUCAAUGAGUGUAAUGAUAUCACUUGGCCUCCUCUGUUAUCUGGCAUUAUUCAAAUGACCUCACGAGUCUGACUGUAGAAUACUGUGUUUAUAUACCGCAAGGAACCUCAAACAGAAUGUACUUAAAUGCCUUUUAUAUUCAUAUGUUUCUAUUUUCCUCCUUUUUAUAAAUAAAGCUGUAUUUAAUUGAAAUUUAUGCAUUCGGAUAUUUUGUCUCAGGUGUAAGAAUGCUGGUUUUAAUGUAAAUACUCCUAGUGUAGUAGUAGUAGUAGUAGUAGUAGUAGUAGUAGUAGUAAUAAUAAUAAUAAUAAUAAUAAUAAUAAUAAUAAUAAUAUCACCAAUGUAAUCAUAAUAAAAUGUACAUUAUUUUCAGGAUUCUAUUAAUUUCAAGAUUUUCAGAUUUACCUUCACAAAUCUCUAUUUAUCUAUUUAUAAAUUACCCGGGAAACAAAUGUCUUAAAUAAAACAUUAACGGCUAGAUUAUUUCAAAAUGCAAAUCAGCCCUUUAUGAUUUUUAAGCCGUAGAGAUUUUUUUUUAGAUAAUGUGCAUGAUUAUAUGUACAUAACUAUUUCGAUGUUCUUAUCGCAGUUGGGCAGAUUAUCAGUGUUUAUCCUGUUUAUUCUAACUGUGGCCUAAGCUCUUCUGCCUGCUUCAUCUGCACUAAUCCAUUUACACUCCAGAGCGUAGCUCACUAGCCAACACCUACUCAAGCUUGCCUGCUCUGGCCUAACACAUGCUAGGAGAAGCACAUUUACAUGAAUAUAUAUUCUCUGUCAAACCCUAUCUGUGCUCAUAUUUCACGCAUAGGCUAGGACUGGUCAGCCUGUACAAGAGCCAGAUUCAUUUGCCAAAAUCAGCAUGGACUGAUGGGUAAAACGGUCUGCUAAUAGUUCCUGAUUUGAAAUGAUUUGAAAUAUAUAUAUAUAUAUAUUUAAAAAAAUGUAAAAUUGUUCCAUACUAAUU